rnacentral:rRNA from 1 species
AUGAUACGCGAGGAACCUUACCCGGGCUUAAAUUGCAGAUGAAUUACGGUGAAAGCCGUAAGCCGCAAGGCAUCUGUGAAGGUGCUGCAUGGUUGUCGUCAGCUCGUGCCGUGAGGUGUCGGCUUAAGUGCCAUAACGAGCGCAACCCUUGUUGUCAGUUACUAACAGGUUCCGCUGAGGACUCUGACAAGACUGCCAUCGUAAGAUGUGAGGAAGGUGGGGAUGACGUCAAAUCAGCACGGCCCUUACGUCCGGGGCUACACACGUGUUACAAUGGGGGGUACAGAGGGCCGCUACCACGCGAGUGGAUGCCAAUCCCCAAAACCUCUCUCAGUUCGGACUGGAGUCUGCAACCCGACUCCACGAAGCUGGAUUCGCUAGUAAUCGCGCAUCAGCCACGGCGCGGUGAAUACGUUCCCGGGCCUUGUACACACCGCCCGUCAAGCCAUGGGAGCCGGGGGUACCUGAAGUGCGUAACCGCGAGGAGCGCCCUAGGGUAAAACUGGUGACUGGGGCUAAGUCGUAACAAGGUAGCCGUACCGGAAGGUGCGGCUGGAACACCUCCUUU